rnacentral:lncRNA from 1 species
CCCCCCCCCCCGGCCCCUCUCCCCCCAAACUUCCCGCCAAGAUGGCGUCCCCGGAGCUGGCCUGCCGCGCGCCCACGUGAUCGCCCUCCCCGCGCUCUCAGCCAAUAGGAAGUGAGGAGGCGGCUCGCGCCGAGCCCGGGCCUCUCAGCUUUGCUACCUUAGGGUUGCGGAGGGUAGGAAGCGCAAGAAGGCCUGGGGACGGAGCUGGGGGACCCCGAGAAUGUCCCGAACGCAGCACCUCGUCUAAAGCGGCGGGCACCGAAGCGGUUCUGAGGAAAAAUCAAUCUCAAAAUACUAGUAUAAGAAGAAGCUUGUUCCUCCAUCCUCCAUGAAAAUAAAUGUGUUUAAUAAACACCAACAAGAUAGAGAAUAGAUAGAGAACUGGUCAAGUCCAAGAUCCUUGGGAUGGAGAAAUUGGAAAAUGCAGGUACCAAAAAAAAGUAAGAGAAAAUUACUUGCAUGUGUGUGUCAUCAAUUUAUGAUGGGUUAUGUCCUGAUGAGGCCAUUGUAAGUUGGCAAUAUGAGUUACAAGGAUUCAAUACUUCUAAGCUACCAAACAUUAUGACUUAGCCUCACC